AUGCACGCUGGCGGCGUGCCUCAUACAUGCCAGUCGAGCGAACAGACGAGGAGCUUGCUCCUCUGACGUUAGCGGCGGACGGGUGAGUAACACGUGGAUAACCUACCUAUAAGACUGGGAUAACUUCGGGAAACCGGAGCUAAUACCGGAUAAUAUAUUGAACCGCAUGGUUCAAUAGUGAAAGACGGUUUUGCUGUCACUUAUAGAUGGAUCCGCGCCGCAUUAGCUAGUUGGUAAGGUAACGGCUUACCAAGGCAACGAUGCGUAGCCGACCUGAGAGGGUGAUCGGCCACACUGGAACUGAGACACGGUCCAGACUCCUACGGGAGGCAGCAGUAGGGAAUCUUCCGCAAUGGGCGAAAGCCUGACGGAGCAACGCCGCGUGAGUGAUGAAGGUCUUCGGAUCGUAAAACUCUGUUAUUAGGGAAGAACAAAUGUGUAAGUAACUAUGCACGUCUUGACGGUACCUAAUCAGAAAGCCACGGCUAACUACGU
rnacentral:rRNA from 1 species